rnacentral:rRNA from 1 species
UACGUAGGGGGCAAGCGUUGUUCGGAAUCAUUGGGCGUAAAGCGCGUGCAGGCGGUUCUGUAAGUCUGCUGUGAAAGUCCAGGGCUCAACCCUGGGAUGCCGGUUGAUACUGCAGGGCUAGAGUACGGAAGAGGCGAGUGGAAUUCCCGGUGUAGCGGUGAAAUGCGCAGAUAUCGGGAGGAACACCUAUUGCGAAGGCAGCUCGCUGGGACGUUACUGACGCUGAGGCGCGAAAGCGUGGGGAGCAAACAGG